rnacentral:rRNA from 1 species
UAGGGAAUCUUCCGCAAUGGACGCAAGUCUGACGGAGCAACGCCGCGUGAGUGAAGAAGGAUUUCGGUUCGUAAAACUCUGUUGUUAGAGAAGAACAGCGCAUAGAGUAACUGUUAUGCGUGUGACGGUAUCUAACCAGAAAGCCACGCCUAACUACGUGCCAGCAGCCGCGGUAAUACGUAGGUGGCAAGCGUUGUCCGGAUUUUUUGGGCGUAAAGCGAGCGCAGGCGGUCAAUUAAGUCGGAUGUGAAAGCCCCCGGCUCAACCGGGGAGGGUAAUUGGAAACUGAUUGACUUGAGUGCAGAAGAGGAGAGUGGAAUUCCAUGUGUGGCGGUGAAAUGCGUAGAUAUAUGGAGGAACACCAGUGGCGAAGGAGACUCUCUGGUCUGUAACUGACGCUGAGGCUCGAAAGCGUGGGUAGCAAACAGG